rnacentral:rRNA from 1 species
UACGUAGGGGGCAAGCGUUGUCCGGAUUUAUUGGGCGUAAAGAGCGUGUAGGCGGCCUGAAAGGUCAGCUGUGAAAACUCGAGGCUCAACCUCGAGACGUCGAUGGAAACCGUAUGGCUAGAGUCCGGAAGAGGAGAGUGGAAUUCCUGGUGUAGCGGUGAAAUGCGCAGAUAUCAGGAAGAACACCCGUGGCGAAGGCGGCUCUCUGGGACGGUACUGACGCUGAGACGCGAAAGCGUGGGGAGCGAACAGG